AGUUUUUAACUCAAGUGGCGGACGGGUGAGUAACACGUAAGAAUUUGCCUUUAGGAGGGGGAUAACAACUGGAAACGGUUGCUAAUACCCCAUAUGCUUUCGAGUGAAAUGGAUUUUUCCGCCUAGAGAGAAGCUUGCGGCUGAUUAGCCUGUUGGUAAGGUAAUGGCUUACCAAGGCGACGAUCAGUAUCUGGUUUGAGAGGAUGAUCGGACACACUGGAACUGAGACACGGUCCAG
rnacentral:rRNA from 1 species